GAUGAAGAUCGUAGCGAAAUGCGAUAAGUAAUGUGAAUUGCAGAAUUCGGUGAAUCAUCGAAUCUUUGAACGCACCUUGCGCCCUUUGGCUAUUCUGAAGGGCAUGCCUGUUUGAGUAUCAUGAACACCUCAACUCUCAUGGUUUGCCAUGAUGAGCUUGGACUUUGGGGGUCUUGCCGGCCUAUGGGUCGGCUCCUCUCAAAUUAAUCAGCUUGCCAGUGUUUGGUGGCAUCACAGGUGUGAUAACUAUCUACGCUUGUGGUUUUCCAUCAGGUAACCUUCAGUGAUGGAGGUUCGCUGGGGCUCAUAAAUGUCUCUCCUCAGUGAGGACAGCUUUUUGGAACGUUUGAUCUCAAAUCAGGUAGGACUACCCGCUGAACUUAAGCAUAUCAAUAAGCGGAGGA
rnacentral:misc_RNA from 1 species